rnacentral:sRNA from 1 species
CACCGCCUGGGGAGUACGACCGCAAGGUUAAAACUCAAAUGAAUUGACGGGGACCCGCACAAGUAGCGGAGCAUGUGGUUUAAUUCGAAGAUACGCGCAGAACCUUACCAACACUUGACAUGUUCGUCGCGACUUUAAGAGAUUAAAGUUUUCGGUUCGGCCGGACGAAACACAGGUGCCGCAUGGCUGUCGUCAGCUCGUGUCGUGAGAUGUUGGGUUAAGUCCCGCAACGAGCGCAACCCUCACUUUUAGUUGCCAUCAUUUAGUUGGGCACUCUGAAAGAACUGCCAGUGAUAAGCUGGAGGAAGGUGGGGAUGACGUCAAGUCCUCAUGGCCCUUACGUGUUGGGCUACACACGUGCUACAAUGGUAUCUACAACAGGAAGCAAGACGGCGACGUUAAGCAAAUCCUUAAAAGAUACCUCAGUUCGGAUUGCACUCUGCAACUCGAGUGCAUGAAGCUGGAAUUACUAGUAAUCGUGGAUCAGCGUGCCACGGUGAAUGCGUUCCCGGGUCUUGUACACACCGCCCGUCACACCAUGGGAGUUGGUUCUACCUUAAGGCAAGGUUUCAAACCCUUGACCACGGUAUAGUCAGCGACUGGGGUGAAGUCGUAACAAGGUAGCCGUAGGGGAACCUGCGGCUGGAUUACCUCCUUUCUAAGGAUGAAUGAAAUUUGUUUUCAUUCUAAAUAAUAAACAGGUAAUGUUGACCGUCCUCAUUUCUCUUCUUAAAGUAGUGUUUCUCUUGCAUGGGGGCCGGUAGCUCAGUUGGUUAGAGCACACCCUUGAUAAGGGUGGGGUCGAAAGCUCGAGUCUUUCUCGGCCCACCAAAUAGAUCAUGGGGGAUUAGCUCAGCUGGGAGAGCGCCUGAUUUGCAUUCAGGAGGUCAGCGGUUCGAUCCCGCUAUCCUCCACCAAAACACUUAGUUAUAAAAAAUCGUGAAAAAAAAAUUAAUAUCAAUAUCUAUAUCCGAACAUUAGUAAUGUUAUUAGCUAAUGUUCAAAAAAAAUUUGAUUCAACACAGAAUUUUUUUCUG